CUUUUGCGUGCCUUCCACCGCCGCGAGCUCGGAAUGUCUGGCCCCGGGUGCUUCAGGGUCCGAGAACCUGCAGAAGUUCACACUUAAAUCCUACACGAGAGUCGUAUUUAUGAUGCAGAACUCGGUGCAGAACCCGAUGGAGUGCCCAAGGCGCUUGAGCCGUUCCUAGAAGGGGAAGGAGAGCCGCGGGCGGCAGCGGGGCAGGGGACGGAAUUGGGAAGCUUGGGAGCAGGAAGAAGGCCAGAGCUACUUAGGAUGGAGAAACGGAGGCCCAGGGAAGGGAUGUGCCCGAGGUCAUACAAAGAAGUUUGUGGGAAUCCAGGCCAUGCGCGGUGGCUCACGCUUGUAAUCCCAGCACUUUGGGAGGCCGAGGCGGGCAGAUCACGAAGUCAGAAGAUCGAGACCAUCCUGGCUAACACGGGACUCAAGACUGGAAUGGGAAGAGCAUGAAAUUGAGCUGUCUAUCCCCCUGGAUCUCUCAUUGCCACCUGCCCAUAGGUUGGCUGCACCCCUCCACCAAAGAAAGGCCAUGACUCCUUCCUGGCAGCCCUGUCUUACAGCUACUCUCUGGUGAUCUGGGAACCACUCCCUCCCUUACCCCUUGAUGCCUAGGGCUAGUGCCAGCACCUUGUUGUUGUUAGCCUCAGAGGCACUUGCACUGUUCCUUGAUGGUUUUCCCAAAUCUUGCCCUCAUCUUUGUAAAUACUGUUUGCCGUUUAUUACACUGUCAUCAUAUUACCCAA
rnacentral:lncRNA from 1 species